rnacentral:rRNA from 1 species
AGAGUUUGAUCCUGGCUCAGGAUGAACGCUGGCGGCGUGCUUAACACAUGCAAGUCGAACGGGAAAUACUUCAUUGAGACUUCGGUGGAUUUGAUCUAUUUCUAGUGGCGGACGGGUGAGUAACGCGUGGGUAACCUGCCUUAUACAGGGGGAUAACAGUCAGAAAUGGCUGCUAAUACCGCAUAAGCGCACAGAGCUGCAUGGCUCAGUGUGAAAAACUCCGGUGGUAUAAGAUGGACCCGCGUUGGAUUAGCUGGUUGGUGGGGUAACGGCCCACCAAGGCGACGAUCCAUAGCCGGCCUGAGAGGGUGAACGGCCACAUUGGGACUGAGACACGGCCCAGACUCCUACGGGAGGCAGCAGUGGGGAAUCUUGCGCAAUGGGGGGAACCCUGACGCAGCGACGCCGCGUGCGGGACGGAGGCCUUCGGGUCGUAAACCGCUUUCAGCAGGGAAGAGUCAAGACUGUACCUGCAGAAGAAGCCCCGGCUAACUACGUGCCAGCAGCCGCGGUAAUACGUAGGGGGCGAGCGUUAUCCGGAUUCAUUGGGCGUAAAGCGCGCGUAGGCGGCCCGGCAGGCCGGGGGUCGAAGCGGGGGGCUCAACCCCCCGAAGCCCCCGGAACCUCCGCGGCUUGGGUCCGGUAGGGGAGGGUGGAACACCCGGUGUAGCGGUGGAAUGCGCAGAUAUCGGGUGGAACACCGGUGGCGAAGGCGGCCCUCUGGGCCGAGACCGACGCUGAGGCGCGAAAGCUGGGGGAGCGAACAGGAUUAGAUACCCUGGUAGUCCCAGCCGUAAACGAUGGACGCUAGGUGUGGGGGGACGAUCCCCCCGUGCCGCAGCCAACGCAUUAAGCGUCCCGCCUGGGGAGUACGGCCGCAAGGCUAAAACUCAAAGGAAUUGACGGGGGCCCGCACAAGCAGCGGAGCAUGUGGCUUAAUUCGAAGCAACGCGAAGAACCUUACCAGGGCUUGACAUAUGGGUGAAGCGGGGGAGACCCCGUGGCCGAGAGGAGCCCAUACAGGUGGUGCAUGGCUGUCGUCAGCUCGUGUCGUGAGAUGUUGGGUUAAGUCCCGCAACGAGCGCAACCCCCGCCGCGUGUUGCCAUCGGGUGAUGCCGGGAACCCACGCGGGACCGCCGCCGUCAAGGCGGAGGAGGGCGGGGACGACGUCAAGUCAUCAUGCCCCUUAUGCCCUGGGCUGCACACGUGCUACAAUGGCCGGUACAGAGGGAUGCCACCCCGCGAGGGGGAGCGGAUCCCGGAAAGCCGGCCCCAGUUCGGAUUGGGGGCUGCAACCCGCCCCCAUGAAGUCGGAGUUGCUAGUAAUCGCGGAUCAGCAUGCCGCGGUGAAUGCGUUCCCGGGCCUUGCACACACCGCCCGUCA